rnacentral:rRNA from 1 species
ACGAACGCUGGCGGCGUGCCUAAUACCUGCAAGUCGCGCGGACGGAUGGGAGCUUGCUCCCAGACCGUCAGCGGCGGACGGGUGAGUAACACGUGGGCAACCUGCCUGUAAGACUGGGAUAACUCCGGGAAACCGGGGCUAAUACCGGAUAACUCUUUCCCUCACAUGAGGGAAAGCUGAAAGAUGGCAUCUCGCUAUCACUUACAGAUGGGCCCGCGGCGCAUUAGCUAGUUGGUGAGGUAACGGCUCACCAAGGCGACGAUGCGUAGCCGACCUGAGAGGGUGAUCGGCCACACUGGGACUGAGACACGGCCCAGACUCCUACGGGAGGCAGCAGUAGGGAAUCUUCCGCAAUGGACGAAAGUCUGACGGAGCAACGCCGCGUGAGUGAUGAAGGUUUUCGGAUCGUAAAACUCUGUUGUCAGGGAAGAACAAGUACCGGAGUAACUGCCGGUACCUUGACGGUACCUGACCAGAAAGCCACGGCUAACUACGUG